AGGUACAGUGUUGUGGUGUCUCCUCAUAUGCAGAUAUGGUUGGCAUCGCAUCGUUGGCAACAAAGCCAAUUUCUACCAAGGUACAAGCCUCGUGCUGCAAGGGUGCUGAUGACACUUCCUCCCAGUCUAGCACGACGCACGUGACAUGCACUGACACUCCACAGGACUACUAUGCCACGGGCUGUUUCGAAAAGAUUGAUACUAUUAUUGACUCGAUCAGUCUGAUUUCUAAAAUUGUCUCCGGCAUCAGCUUUAUUUGACACACCACAACUGCCAAACCCCCAUCGUAUAUUGGAAUCGAUGCUGUCUUGAAGAACAAAGCAAAGAUAUAAAUGUGUGAUGAAACAUGUCAGAAACGAUCUUUGUUUCAUUUGACAGUGUAUUUAAGAGCUUACCUCAAAUGCAUGUUAACUGUGAUAAUAUUGUAUGUGUUAUUAUGGAUCAGACAAUUUGUAUCUGCACACGUGUGUUGUCAUUUUCAGUGAUGCGGUUGUGAAAAACAAAUAUUUAAACGCUGCUCAACGUAGCGCGAGUGGAAAGGUCUUUAAAAUAUAACCAGGCAGAAAACUAGCGAUACCUUCCGAUAUAUUGAUAGACAUUAUUUUACAUGGGGUCCAACAGUUUUCUAUUUAUAUAAGUAUUAACCACUGAACAUGCACUUUGAACAUUUUAUGGUACGAAAGAAGCUAACGUUUCUUCUUCGUCUCUCCAAACCAAUGGGAUUUGUAAUUUAACACGUUACAUCGUAUGUUGGUAUCUACCAAGUUUGUUCAAAUCCUGACAUUUUUGCAAAACAUGGCUGUGCCCUGGCGGUUACUUGUUUCCGUUAUGUGUCCUGUAAAAGCUUUAAAUAAACUCUUCUCUUGUGAAACCGCGAGCUCAAGAGGUUUUGUAGUUCACAUGUAACAUCGAAUGGCCUGCCACCUACCAAUUUUGUUCAAAUCAAAUGUCCCAGGGGUCAAAAUUGGACCCACCCGUGGGUUAACUCGUUUUUUCUUUGUAUGUGAAUAGUGCACAUUACAAACAUUUUAUCUUUUUAAACCGCAAUUAACAGAUAAUUUGUAUUUGUAUUGGUAAUCGUUUGGUGAUCCUUUACCAAACUUAUUCAAUUCAUGCCACUGGUUUCAUCAUUGACCACCCUCUGACUUAUUUUUCAAAUAUACAUAUAGUGAAAACAUGAAGAAAAUCUCUCUGUAAUCGCAUGAUCCAUGUGUUUAGUAUUUUUCAUGUUUGUUCGAAAGGUUGCCUUCUGUCCAAUUAUCAUGACCAUGUGAUCAGAAGUGGCGCCAGCCUUGGGAUCACUGUUUUCAUUUUAAUUCUGCCGCGUACGAAAAUGGUUGAGGUCGGUUGAAAAAAACGUGUACACUAGUAUGCGCAAGAUUCCUCACAUGGACAUAGCGAAACAUUUUGAACACUCUGUCUUUUCCCAAUUAUCGCGAAACUUGCUCUGAACAUCUGUUCUUAUCAUAUCUCGACCAAGCUCGAAAUAGGUUUUGGAAACAUCAAAAAGUUGUUCAGAAUAGUUUCCCUAAGUCUACAGUUGGAGAUCUAAGAUCUAUGACACUGUUGUUUCCUACACUAUUUUGCUAUUUUAUUCAAUAAUAGUUACUUUAAAGAACUGUAUUAAAUGGUCUCCAUAUGAGUUUGUAUUAAAAUCAACAACAUUUCGUGCUUCAAUAUAAUCAUAAGUUUGUAUAGUAAAUGCGAUUAAUUUGUUAUCACAUUUAUUGUAAGAAGGACUUUUCAUGCGUUAGACAAAUAGAAUUACUAUUCAUUAA